CCAUUCUUUGGGUCCCUUUGCACAUUUGUGCAGCAUUUCAUGGUUAACAGAGGGUGUACCCCCUCUACAUUAUCCUUGGUGGUAAGAAGUUGCCUGUGUCAUCAGCUGUGCAGUAACAUGGGAGAAAUGUCUGCUCUCCCAACCACAGCUGCAACUUGCCCUACGGAGCAGCUCAAAAUGCUCCUGGAGAUGCGAUUCAGAUCCCCCGCUCAAAUUCACAACAAAUGAAUGACUUUUCUUUUUUUCAAUGAAGGACUACUGAGGGCGAUCAUCUAAAAGUCAAAGCUGUCAGACUAGAGAGUAGGCUCUGCAGAACAGAUGCUGUCUCUUCCUGAGGCUGAAACAUAAAAACAGA
rnacentral:lncRNA from 1 species